GGAGGUGGGCGCCACAGACCCAAUCCACACGGCAGCAGCUACGGAAACGGCUAUUCCACCUACGGCGACCAGCACGGCGGCAACACCGUGGCCAAAGUGGUGUCUCCGAUCGUGUCCAUGGUGGUGGUGACCCUGGUGGGGGCGGCCGUCGGCUACUACAACCGGAGGGGCAACUGCUGCAGGAGAAACAACG